rnacentral:rRNA from 1 species
UAAAACGUAGGAGGCAAGCGUUAUCCGGAUUUACUGGGCGUAAAGCGCGUGCAGGCGGUUUGGAAAGUUGGAUGUGAAAGCUCCCGGCUUAACUGGGAGAGGUCGUUCAAAACUACCAGACUAGAGGGCGAUAGAGGGAGGUGGAAUUCCGGGUGUAGUGGUGAAAUGCGUAGAUAUCCGGAGGAACACCAGUGGCGAAAGCGGCCUUCUGGAUCGUACCUGACGCUCAGACGCGAAAGCUAGGGUAGCAAACGGG